AGAGUUUGAUCAUGGCUCAGGAUGAACGCUAGCUACAGGCUUAACACAUGCAAGUCGAGGGGCAGCAGGACGAUAGCUUGCUAUUGUUGCUGGCGACCGGCGCACGGGUGAGUAACGCGUAUCCAACCUUCCCCUUAGUAGGGCAUAGCCCGGUGAAAAUCGGAUUAAUACCCUAUGUUGUGUCAUGAGGACAUCUGAAUAACACUAAAGAUUUAUCGCUAAGGGAUGGGGAUGCGUCCGAUUAGGUAGUCGGCGGGGUAACGGCCCACCGAGCCCUCGAUCGGUAGGGGUUCUGAGAGGAAGGUCCCCCACACUGGUACUGAGACACGGACCAGACUCCUACGGGAGGCAGCAGUGAGGAAUAUUGGUCAAUGGGCGUAAGCCUGAACCAGCCAAGUAAGCGUGCAGGAUGACGGCCCUAUGGGUUGUAAACUGCUUUUAUACGGGGAUAAAGUGAGGGACGUGUCCCUUAUUGUAGGUACCGUAUGAAUAAGGACCGGCUAAUUCCGUGCCAGCCGCGGC
rnacentral:rRNA from 1 species